CUUCUUCAGGCCCCACUGCUGACCGCCAGACCAAACUCCUACAGUUGCCGCCUGCAUCCCGCUCGGAGCGGGUCCGAGCCCUGCUCCCUCCCAGCGCACCUUUUCCACGACACGGAUGACACCAGCGAUGAGAGAGUCUCGGUCCUGAUACUUCUUAGCGCUGGUGUGCAGGGGCACGCUGUCGUUACCCUCGUCCACUGGUUCGGAUGAAGCCCCUGUGGCCGCCAUCUUGAUCUCGGGCGGUCCCGAUAAGGGAGGCGGAGUGUGCGGAGAGGAGGCGGGGCAACUGCGCGGACGUGACGCAAGGCGCCG
rnacentral:sRNA from 1 species